rnacentral:tRNA from 2 species
CGGAUGUAGCUCAAUGGUAGAGCCUCUGCCUUCCAAGCAGAUCACGCGGGUUCGAUUCCCGUCAUCCG